rnacentral:lncRNA from 1 species
GGAGCAGGCAGGGGGCGCAGGUCCGCAGCGGGCGCAGCGGGUGGAGAGAGAGGGCGCUGUCUUCCUGGCAAAGGAGUCCUUGCCUAGCCAGCAGGAACCGAAACAAAAAAGAAAAUCUGCCUGGCUGAGCCCGUAGGGUGAGGAGCGCGGGCCGGAGGAAAAGGGGCUGGGGUGGCUGACUGGAUUCUCAGUCUCCAGCUGGGAGACCCCUCGGCCCAUCGCGGCCUCGCCAGUAGCCCCAGGCGGGACUGGUGGGAAGAGAGUCUUCUGUAGCCCAUUGGCAUUCCCCACAGUCAUCUUCCGUCAGGGAUAUCUCUCCCUCGCCUUUUCCCUCCAAACACUGGACGCGCCGGCGAGUGAGGUGCCUCAAUUUGCCCGAGGCGAGAGGGGGACUCUGCGCACACACACCCUUCCUCCAAGCGGAGUCUGCUUUAGGUGGUGGGACCUGAGGAAGGAAAUCGCGUCGCCAGCCAAUCCUUUGGGUCGAAGCGCUGUAGCAAGUGGUCUCACCUGGUUUGGCCCCUCCUGGCCCAGAAACAACGAAGAAAUGGAAACUUCUUUUAUGGUCACCAGUUGACCUGGGUGCAAAGCCCCAAAGACAACUACUGCCAACCAUUCUUCCACCCAAACCUACAAAACAAGAACUUUGUUUAUAUUAAUUUGAGGGAAAUUGCUAUCCUUCCAUUCCAAAAGCACUUAUUUCUCCUCUGUCAGCUACCAAAUAUAGUGUGUUCUUGUCUUUCCACGAGCACAAUAAACCAUGCAAUGCAAAAUAUAAGGAUUCCAGACUCGCUUAUCUUCUAUUUUAAAAAGUCUCUCUGGAUUAAGGGACGUUAGAUGUCCUCCUGCUUCGUGCAUAGAUACUAGAACUGAUCAUCUUCCAUGCUCUCCACCAGAGCAUCUCAAGCUCCGAUCUCCAUUUGAAUUUCCUGGGGAGUCAUGACUCUUUCCGAAUCCCCUCCAGUGGAAUCCAGGUGGCCUUGUAGUUCCGCCCUUGGCAGGAGAGCUAUUUCCUAGGAGUAACUGGGUGGGCUGCCACCCGCCUGACUCUUCACAUCGAGAAACGCUUCUCUUGUGGGAACGUCUGUUUCU